UUUCCCUGUUUUAAUCCUCUGAGGGUGGGGCUUCAGGAGCACCAGCUACACUAAUUGUUUCAUCCUCUCCAGUUCCAGUUUCUCUACUUAAGGAGAUAAUACAUGUUCUUUGUGGAACAGUGAAAAAUAGAGACGAGCACAAAGAAUACAAAUCACGCAGGGAUUCGAUCCUGUCAUCUACAGAUCACUUCUGUAUAUACAGUGCUGGAGAGCUUUGUUUUAGUUUUAUAUUCAUUAAUACAAUGCUAUAUCCACAUAUUAUAUUUGUGUAUGUAUUAUAUAUACAUGUAUAUAUAUAUUUUAGCAAGAAAUAGAAUUCUAGCGUCUUUUUUUAUUUACUUAACACUGUGAACAUCUUAUCAAGCCAUUAGUCUUUUUUUAAUUAAUAAAUUUGAGUUUGUUAAGAGUAGUUUUAUGUCACAGCAAAAUUAAGUGGAAUGUCCAGACAGUUCCCAUAUGCCACGCCCCGUCCCCUGGAUUGCUCUCCCCAUCCUCAGCCUCCCCUACAAUCAGCAUCCCCACGAGAGUGGUAUAUGUGUUAAAAAUUAAUGAAGCUGGCCGGGCGCAGUAGCUCAUGCCUGUAAUCCCAGCACUUUGGGAGGCCGAGGUGGCCAGAUCACCUGAGGCCAGGAGUUUGAGACCAGCCUGGCCAACAUGGUGAAACCACACCUCUACUAAAACUACAAAAAUUAGCUGGGUGUGGUGGUGCAUGCCUGUAGUCCCAGCUACUCGGGAGGCUGAGGCAGAAGAAACACUUGAACCUGGGAGGCAGAGGUUACAGUGAACCAAGAUCAUGCCACUGCACUCCAGCCUGGGCAACAGAGUGAGACUCUGUCUCAAAAACAAACAAACAAAAAAAAUUAAUAGAGCUACAUUGAUACCUCUUUAUUACCCAAAGUUCAUAGUUUUCAUUAGGUUUAAUUCUUUGUAUUAGGCUGUUCUUGUAUUGCUAUAAACACUUGAGACUGGGUAAUUUAUAAAGAAAAGAGGUUGAAUUGGCUCACAGUUCUGCAGGCUGUACAGGAAGCAUGGUGCUGACAUCUGCUUGGUUUCUUGGGAGGCCUCAGGGAGCUUCCAAUCAUGGUGGAAGGUGAAGAGGCAACAGGCACAUCACAUGGCCAGAACAGGAGCAAGAGAGAGUGCGGAGGGAGGAGCCACGCAGUUUUAAAUGACCAGAGCUUGUGUGAACUCAGAGCUUGUGUGAAGUCAUUUAUCACCAAGGGACGGCCCGAGCCAUGCCUGAGGGAUCUUCCCCCAUGAUUCAAACGCCUCCCACCAGGUCCCAUCUCUGACACCGAGGAUUACAUUUUAACAUGAGAUUUGGGCGGGGACAAAUAUUCAAACUAUAUCGCUUUUGGUGUUGUACAUUCAAUGGGUGUGGACAAAUGCAUAACAACAAGUCUUCACCAUGAUAGUAUCAC
rnacentral:lncRNA from 1 species